rnacentral:rRNA from 1 species
GACGAACGCUGGCGGCGUGCUUAACACAUGCAAGUCGAACGAGAAUCUGUGGAUCGAGGAUUGUCCAAGUGAAGCAGAGGACAGUGGCGGACGGGUGAGUAACGCGUGGGUAACCUGCCUCAUACAGGGGGAUAACAGUUGGAAACGACUGCUAAUACCGCAUAAGCGCACAGGAUUGCAUGAUCCAGUGUGAAAAACUCCGGUGGUAUGAGAUGGACCCGCGUCUGAUUAGCCAGUUGGCGGGGUUAAACGGCCCACCAAAGCGACGAUCGGUAGCCGGACUGAGAGGUUGAACGGCCACAUUGGGACUGAGACACGGCCCAGACUCCUACGGGAGGCAGCAGUGGGGAAUAUUGCACAAUGGGGGAAACCCUGAUGCAGCGACGCCGCGUGGAGGAAGAAGGUCUUCGGAUUGUAAACUCCUGUUGUUGAGGAAGAUAAUGACGGUACUCAACAAGGAAGUGACGGCUAACUACGUG